GGAGUCUAGCAUGUGCGCGAGUCAUUGGGACUCUAUCGAAACCUAAAGGCGCAAUGAAAGUGAAGGCGCGCCUAGCGCGCGCCAAGGGAGGAUGGGUCGUGCAGAGUCGCGGCCCCGCACUCCCGGGGCGUCUCGUUCUCUCGUCGCCUCGUGCGGCGCUGAGUUGAGGCGCACCCAGAGCGUACACGCUGGGACCCGAAAGAUGGUGAACUAUGCCUGGUCAGGACGAAGUCAGGGGAAACCCUGAUGGAGGUCCGUAGCGAUUCUGACGUGCAAAUCGAUCGUAAGAACUGGGUAUAGGGGCGAAAGACUAAUCGAACCAUCUAGUAGCUGGUUCCCUCCGAAGUUUCCCUCAGGAUAGCUGGCGCUCGCUUUUUGCGAGUCUCAUCCGGUAAAGCGAAUGAUUAGAGGCAUUGGGGUCGAAACGGCCUCAACCUAUUCUCAAACUUUAAAUGGGUGAGAUCUCCGGCUUGCUUGAACGUUGAAGCCGCGAGAUCGGAUCAGAGUGCCAAGUGGGCCAUUUUUGGUAAGCAGAACUGGCGCUGUGGGAUGAACCAAACGCAGAGUUAAAGCGCCUAAAUCGACGCUUAUGGGAUACCAUGAAAGGCGUUGGUAACUUAAGACAGCAGGACGGUGGCCAUGGAA
rnacentral:rRNA from 1 species